AAUCCACAAACUGCCAUCUACUAGUCCAUUUGUGAGCUGGCUGGUAAAUUCACCUUCCUGGGCCUCAGUUUCUUCAUCAGUAAAAUGGGAUAAUGAUGGUGCCUUCCUAGUUGGGUUGUGGUGAAGGUUAAAUGAGAUGCCAUGUAGAAGUGCAGAGGAGAAGGGCUGCUAUAAGGGGCUCCAGGUGGGUGCUGCUGUUAUGAUUGGGCACCUACUGCAUGCUGUGUCCCUGCAUACAGGAGUCGACCUUUGAGACCUGCUUGUUCAUGGCUGUUUCACAGAUGUCGAAGUGGAGGCUCAGCAGGGUUGGAGGUUCCCGGAGUCUCCCAGCUGAAAUGGAAGUGCUUGGUGAGGUUUGGUGUGUCCGAGCCGAAGAGCAGCCAAUGACAGGCCUGGGGAUCGUCUGGCACAGCCCACUUCUUGACAAGGCCUUGGAAACUUGGUCUCUGCAGCAGCAACCGGAUUUCAGCCUGGGCCUCGGACACCUCGGCCUGGGUACGGAUGCGACUUGGAUGCAGUCCUUCCCUGGCAGUGGAGGGGAUGCCCAGGCUGGCACAGGAGUCUCGGGUCUUCUCCGGCUCUACCCCAAUCUGCUGUGUGAUUUUGGGCCCAGGCAGGGACCCCUCUGGGCUCUGUUACUGGAGAAAAGGCAAAUGGCUGGGACGGGUGGGUCCCCAGCCCUCCUUGCCUGGAGGUCUGCGAGUUGGAGGGCUCUGGGGUAAAGCCAGAGCCGGGCCCGGGGAGAGCCUAGGCUCAUCUCUGGUGAACAGGGUACCCUCUAGCCAAAGCAGGGGCAAGGCGAGGCACAUGCCCCUCAUAUGGGAGCUGGGGCUGACCCCCUCUCCUAGCCCUGCACACCUUGAGCACAUGGCCUUGGCCCAUCUGCCCUGUGGGUGGACACUUUCCAGCCCUGGGUCCUGAACUCUACCAAUCAGCAGGAACCUAGACUCCUGAGGGGUGCAGCCUGGAUGGGAGGUCAGGGAACUGGGUUCCUGAGCGCAUCUCUGUGCCAUUCAUCUCUCCAUUGGUUUCCCAAAUGUGGACUGAGCACACACUGUGAGUCAGGCCUGAGCUAGGUUCUAGGGAUGCUACUGUCAACAAGACAGAUGAAGGUUCCUGCCCUCAUGGAGGGGAGGGAGACAAUAAGCAAAGAAAUAAAUGCAUGAUGUAAUGUCA
ensembl:lncRNA novel transcript